GACGAACGCUGGCGGCGUGCUUAACACAUGCAAGUCGAACGAAGAGCGAUGGAAGCUUGCUUCUAUCAAUCUUAGUGGCGAACGGGUGAGUAACGCGUAAUCAACCUGCCCUUCAGAGGGGGACAACAGUUGGAAACGACUGCUAAUACCGCAUACGAUCUAAUCUCGGCAUCGAGGAUAGAUGAAAGGUGGCCUCUACAUGUAAGCUAUCACUGAAGGAGGGGAUUGCGUCUGAUUAGCUAGUUGGAGGGGUAACGGCCCACCAAGGCGAUGAUCAGUAGCCGGUCUGAGAGGAUGAACGGCCACAUUGGGACUGAGACACGGCCCAGACUCCUACGGGAGGCAGCAGUGGGGAAUCUUCCGCAAUGGACGAAAGUCUGACGGAGCAACGCCGCGUGAGUGAUGACGGCCUUCGGGUUGUAAAGCUCUGUUAAUCGGGACGAAAGGCCUUCUUGCGAAUAGUGAGAAGGAUUGACGGUACCGGAAUAGAAAGCCACGGCUAACUACGCG
rnacentral:rRNA from 1 species